rnacentral:lncRNA from 1 species
GAAAAGUUAAAUAAAUUAAAACAAUUGAAUAGGUUGAAAGAAAAGAACAAUGAUAUGACAGCACGUGAACAAUGUUAUAAACCUAUAACAAGUGAAAAAAAAAAUGAAGUAGUUACACCGUCUUGUGUUAAUGAAGCCCAACAUAUUGCUGCUUAUACUACAAACAACAAAAAUAACAAAAAAAAGCUAAGUAGUAAAUAUAUUUUAAAACAAGCUAUUAAAAAAAUAUAUUUUAACAUAAAAAAUGUAUGUUAUCUUAACAAUAUACAUGAUAAAACGUUUUUAUUCAUAUUUUAUGUGAAUGACAGAAAGUUUAUUAUUUCUUCUUUUUAUAAAAAAAUAAAAAGUGUUUAUUAUUUAUAUAGAAAUGUAUUAUAUAUGGAGAUAAAUAAAAACAUAAAAAAAGAAAUAGCACUUAUUAAUCUUGUAUCUAAUAAUACAACGUAUUUUAAAAUUUUGAAGCAUAUGAUAAAGGUGAAUACUUUUUAUAUAAAAUAUUAUGUCAAAUUUUAUCUUAAUAAAUUAGUUUAUUCUUUUAAUCAAAAAAUGAUAAAUAUAUAUGAACAUUUGCAUAGAAACCCAGCAAAUAUAUAUGGGUGUUAUAUUGGUAAUUGUGUCAGUAGUUUGUGUCAAAGUAGAAAAAUUUAUGAUACGGAUAAUACCCAGAAUGAGGGACUUGUGAAAAAUAGUAUAAACAAUUGUUCACGUGAGUUUGUGCUUAAAACCGAUAGUAGUAGUGAGAGUAGUAGUGAGAGUAGUAGUGAUAGAAGUAGUGAUAGUAGUAGUGAUAGAAGUAGUGAUAGUAGUAGUGAUAGUUUUAGUGCUAGCGAAAGUAGCAGUAGCGAUAAAAAUAUAAAUAUUAAGUUAGUGAAUAUAUAUAUGAAUGGUAAGUUUUAUGUAUCUAUUCCUAUUGUUUUAACAUAUAAUAUAAUUAAAAAUAAUUUUUAUUUAAAUAAUUUGUUUUAUUUGAAUAGUGAAAAGAAAUAUAAUUCAAGCUAUUUAUCUACACUAAGCAGUAUUUAUAAUAAUAAUAUACAAUUUUUUCAAAAUAAUAAUUACACAUGGUUAAAUAAUGAAAAUAUUAU